CGGGAAGGGGCGGGCGCAAUGGGCGCAGUGGGGGCGGCUGGGGCCGGGUGGGGAGGCCAGAGGGGCAGGGCAGGAGGGGCCCGGCCUGCGGAAGCGGUUGGAGGGAGAAGGCUCAAUCCGAAUGGCUGGGGCCCCACUGCGGAUCGCCUUCAGCCUCCAUCUCGUUUCUUCCGUUAACGGAGCGCGGUCACGUGAGCUGAGCAGCCUACGAGCCUGGGACGGGGCGAGGUGGCGCAGCGGCUGCUUGGGGGAGCGCGGGAGCAUUGAGUCGGGGGCAGAGAGCCUGGGGCGCCGGGGCUGGGCGCAGCGAGGCGCGGCUGGACUCCGGGCUUGGUGGCGCGGUUGAGAGAGACGCGCAGCUGGCGAAAUGCCCCGCGUCUAAGGCCUUCGGAGACCAUAGUCUCCGCGGACCCCUGGCUGGAGCCCAAAGCCGGUCGGACCUCCUCCCUGCGUCUCCCCUUCCGCGGCUCGGAGAGGAAGGCAGGAGAGCCCCCAAAUAUUCCCCUCCCGCCCUCUAGGGAAACUGAAGCUGAAAGAACCAGCGAAAGAAAAAAAAGUCUCGGAGUGGGGCGGCCCGAGCGACCUAAGGGACGGGGCAGUGGCAGCGACCGAGGGAAAUUAGUCGGGGUGGGGGAACAGGGAGACAAGCCCCCAGAAUUUAGGAAACUCCUAAAUUCUACUAAAAAUACAAAAAUUACCUGGGCAUGGUGGCGGGUGCCUGUAAUCCCAGCUACUUGGGAGGCUGAGGCAGGAGAAUCGCUUGAACCCGGGAGGCGGAGGUUGCGGUGAGCCAAGAUCCUGCCAUUGCACUCCAGCCUGGAGAACAAGAGUGAAACUACGUCUCAAAAAAAAAGAGAAUAGAGAGCCAUGCAGUCCACGCGGGAUUGUGAGCUGUGGUGUGAGAGGGUGAAGCCAGAGAACAAGGCGGCGCUGGAGGCGUGGGUCAGGCAGACAGGCAUCGCCUGGUGCAGUUCAUUCACUCUAGCUAUGUGGGGAGGACAUUCAGGCAGUGUGUGGAGAAGUCCAGGUAGUAAGCCAAUGAAGUCUUCAACCAAUAUUCAGUGAGGAACUACAGCCUGCCAACAACCAACGAGUGACCUUGAAUGCAUAUUUUCUCCCAAUUGAGUCUUCAGAUAAGAGUGCAGCCCCAGGCCACUGCUUGACUGAAACAUCCCAAGAGAACUGAGCAGAACCACCCAGCUAAGUCCCUCCCAGAUUCCUGACCCACAGAAAGUGUGAUAUAAUAAAUGUUUUUUGUUUUAA
rnacentral:lncRNA from 10 species